UACGUAGGGUGCAAGCGUUGUCCGGAAUUAUUGGGCGUAAAGAGCUCGUAGGCGGUUUGUUGCGUCGGCUGUGAAAUCCCGAGGCUCAACCUCGGGUCUGCAGUCGAUACGAGCAAACUAGAGUGUUGCAGGGGAGACUGGAAUUCCUGGUGUAGCGGUGAAAUGCGCAGAUAUCAGGAGGAACACCGAUGGCGAAGGCAGCUCGCUGGGACGGUACUGACGCUGAGACGCGAAAGCGUGGGGAGCAAACAGG
rnacentral:rRNA from 1 species